GACGAACGCUGGCGGCGUGGAUUAGGCAUGCAAGUCGAACGGUAUCAUCCUUUCGGGGGUGAGAGAGUGGCGAACUGGUGAGUAACACGUAGGUUAUCUACCCUCAAGACGGGGACAACCCAGGGAAACUUGGGCUAAUACCGGAUGUGAGCAACUUUUAGUUGUUUGAAAGGUGGCGUAAGCUGUCGCUUGGGGAUGAGCCUGCGUCCUAUUAGUUAGUUGGUGAGGUAACGGCUCACCUAGGCAAUGAUAGGUAGGCGGCCUUAACGGGUGGUCGCCCACACUGGGAUUGAGAUACGGCCCAGACUCCUACGGGAGGCAGCAGUCGAGAAUAGUCUACAAUGGUCGGAAGACUGAUAGUGCGACGCCGCGUGAACGAUGAAUCCCUUCGGGUGUAAAGUUCUUUUAUAUGUGAGCAGUGCUUCUUAUAUUAACAGUAUGGGGAAGAGAUAUUAGCAUAUGAAUAAGCAACGGCUAACUCCGUGCCAGCAGCCGCGGUAAA
rnacentral:rRNA from 1 species